AAGAGUCUCUAAUCUCCUAGAAUAGACAUGAACAAUGGGAGGACAAACAGGUACAUGGCUGGUGGAGCUGGAGGAUUCUAAAGACUGGACAACUAUUGGACAAUGUAAACCAAGAGAUCAUCUAAUUCUCCCUAAUUUUCAUAAGUAGAUGAUGGAGGAAAGAAUAGAGUAGACUAAAAAAAAAAAAGUAACAUUUGCAUAUACAAGAUAACGACUAAGAGUUAGAGAAAAAUAUCAGUACACUUUUUAACGCCAG
rnacentral:misc_RNA from 1 species